UACGUAGGGUGCAAGCGUUGUCCGGAAUUAUUGGGCGUAAAGAGCUCGUAGGCGGUUUGUCGCGUCUGCUGUGAAAAACCCGAGGCUCAACCUCGGGCCUGCAGUGGGUACGGGCAGACUAGAGUGCGGUAGGGGGAGAUUGGAAUUCCUGGUGUAGCGGUGGAAUGCGCAGAUAUCAGGAGGAACACCAAUGCGAAGGCAGAUCUCUGGGCCGUAACUGACGCUGAGGAGCGAAAAGCAUGGGGGAGCGAACAGGG
rnacentral:rRNA from 1 species